GGUCAGGGUAGGUGUGGCCAAUGGGCGUGGUCUGGUUGGGUGUGGGCAACAUGGGUAGUCAAUGGGUGGGGUCAUUGUGGGUGUGGCCAAUGGGCGUGGUCAGGGUGGCUGUAGGCGUGGCCAUGAUGGGUGUGGUCAGUGUGGGUGUGGCUUGGGGUGUGGUCAUUGUGGGCGUGGUCAUGAUGGGUGUGGUCAGUGUGGGUGUGGUCUGGUUGGGUGUGGGCAACAUGGGUGGCCAAUGGGUGUGGUCAUUGUGGGUGUGGCCAAUGGGCGUGGUCAGGGUGACUGGGCGUGGCCAUGAUGGGUGUGGCCACUAUGGGUGUGGUCAUUGUGGGCGUGGCUUUGGAUGUGGGAGUGGUCAGUGUGGGUGUGGUCAAUGUGGGCGUGGUCUGGUUGGGUGUGGGCAACAUGGGUGGUCAAUGGGUGUGGUCAUUGUGGUGGGUGUGGUCAAGGUGGGAGUGGCCAUUGUCAGUGUGGUCGUGGCCAAUGGGCGUGGCCUGGGUGGGUGUGGUCAUUGUGGGCGUGGUCUGGGUGGGUGUGGGCAACAUGGGUGGUCAAUGGGUGUGGUCAAUGUGGGUGUGGUCAUUGUGGGCGUAGCCAGGAUACCUGUGGGCGUGGCCAUGAUGGGUGUGACCACUGGGCAUGGUCUUGGUGGGUGUGGUCAUUGUGGGCGUGGCUUGGGGUGUGGUCAAUGUGGGCGUGGUCAAGGUGGGAGUGGUCAGGUUGGUGUGGCCAAUGGGCGUGGCAUGGGUGGGUGUGGUCACUGUGGGCGUGGUCAGGGUGAUUGUGGGCGUGGCCGGGGUGGACAUGGCCAAUGUGGGCGUGGUCUGAAUGGAUGUGGGUGUGGCCAAUGUGGGCGUGGUCUGGGUGGGUGUGGUCAGGGUGGGCGUGGUCAGGUGGGGGUGGGCAUAUGGGUGUGGGUGUGGUCAGGGUGGGCGUGGCCUGGGUGGGUUUGGGUAAUGUGGGCGUGGUCUGAGUGGGUCCAAUGUGGGCGUGGCCACGGUGGGCGUGGCCUGAGUGGGGUUGGGCUUGUCCAUAGUGGGCGUGACCUCGAUGGGCGUUUCCAGGGUGGGCGUGGCCUGAGAGGGGAUGGGCUUGUCCAUAGUGGGCGUGUCCCGGGUGGGCGUGUCCCGGGUGGGCGUG
rnacentral:lncRNA from 1 species